CGCGUAGGCGGCCACGCAAGUCGGGUGUGAAAUCCCUCGGCUCAACCGAGGAACUGCACCCGAAACUGCGAGGCUCGAGUCCAGGAGAGGGUAGUGGAAUUCCCAGUGUAGCGGUGAAAUGCGUAGAUACUGGGAGGAACACCGGUGGCGAAGGCGGCUACCUGGACAGGUACUGACGCUGAUGCGCGAAAGCCAGGGAGCAAACA
rnacentral:rRNA from 1 species